rnacentral:SRP_RNA from 14 species
CUGUAACAUGUUGGUGUCGGGAGUGUUGUGGAGCCAAGCAUGUUAUGCACCCUGUGUGGAUGGCUUACCCCAAUCAAGCAGGAAGUCUGCAAGGUUCUCAGCAUGUAAGUGCUGACAACCUGGCAGUUAAAUACCUGGGGAUUGGCUCAGGCUGGCAACAGAGCAAGCAGAACUGGGAUCUUCCUGCAGUGGUGGGAUUGUGA